UCGCGUCGGACACGCCGGACGCGUGGCGCGCGCUGAACGCGCUCAUGCAGCCCGGCGAGCAGGUCGUCGUUCUGUCGACGGAUGCGGUC
rnacentral:tRNA from 1 species